AAGAGCACGACAUUGCUCACAUUGCUUCCAGUAUUGUUGCCCGCCUCAUGGCGGGCUUUUUUU
rnacentral:antisense_RNA from 1 species